UGGGGAAUCUUGGACAAUGGGCGCAAGCCUGAUCCAGCCAUGCCGCGUGAGCGAUGAAGGCCUUAGGGUUGUAAAGCUCUUUCACCGGUGAAGAUAAUGACGGUAGCCGGAGAAGAAGCCCCGGCUAACUCCGUGCCAGCAGCCGCGGUAAUACGGAGGGGGCUAGCGUUGUUCGGAAUUACUGGGCGUAAAGCGCGCGUAGGCGGACUGAUCAGUCAGGGGUGAAAUCCCGGGGCUCAACCCCGGAACUGCCUUUGAUACUGUCAGUCUUGAGUCCGGAAGAGGCGAGUGGAAUACCGAGUGUAGAGGUGAAAUUCGUAGAUAUUCGGUGGAACACCAGUGGCGAAGGCGACUCGCUGGUCCGGUACUGACGCUGAGGUGCGAAAGUGUGGGGAGCAAACAGGAUUAGAUACCCUGGUAGUCCACACCGUAAACGAUGAAUGCCAGUCGUCGGGUAGCAUGCUAUUCGGUGA
rnacentral:rRNA from 1 species